rnacentral:lncRNA from 10 species
AUGGUCUAGGCUUUUCCAACUUAACUGUGCUCUCACAUGUGGUCUCUUUUUCUCCCUCUUUCCUCCUUCUUAUACACUCUCACCCACACACAUAUGCAUACAUACCCUGUCUGAUGUAUCUGCUUCUUCAGAAUAGUUGGCUGUGCUCUGCUGAUGAUGAGAACUUGCCAUUUAAGAAGGACUUGGGAUAGUCCAUGUCAUCAUGUUCAGGGAUAAAAGUAAAACCCAAGGGCAUUUAAACUUUAUUGUAUUUUAUUUUCUGUUUCCAGUCCAAAUUAAAUCCAAGAGAAGGCUCCAUAAUCAAAAAGUAAGGACAUAUUUUAAAUUUGCCAAUGGGAAGAUAUUCUAGUCAUUACAGUCUGGUAAUACUAUCAAUUCUGUUUCUCUUCAGAGGUGAGGGGAGACUAUUUGAUGAAAUCGUAAGUCCUGUAGGGUGUUGUGAAAUAGGGCCAGAAUGAAAGAUAGCAAGAAUAGUGUUAU